CUUCUUUGUCUCUCCAUUUUCCUUUUUAUUCUCCAGUCUUCUAGUUCUGCAUUUUCAAGCAAAGAGGAGAAGAAGAAGAAGCCGUGAGCAAUCCUAGCUGCCAUCGUUCCACCUUGUGCCGUGAUAGUGAAGCCUUGCUUUCAAGAUUCAAGAUCAACGUCUCAAGUUCUUCAUCAUCCACUCCAUUCACGGUGUGUACCCUCAUUCCCCGGAUAGAACGAUCCCUACUUUCUUUAUACUAACAUUUGACAACAGGGUUAAAUUGCGUGCUACUUUGAGCGUGUCAAUUUUUGGCGCCGUUGCCGGGGAAUUGAAAAAUCACUUGUUAAAUUGUGUCAUUUAUUUUAUUUAUUUGUUUUUUUUAAAAUUUGUUUGAAACUUAGUUUAAAUUAACUAGGAUGUUAUUUAUAUUGUUGAACGCAAGUUUUAAUUGUAAGUUGUAAAUUGAGAGGAAUAGGUGAAGUCUCUUUUGUUAAUAUUGGCCUAAACCCCUUAAUGGUACCUAGUUUAGGUCCCUUGAGGUUGAGAGCGGCCUUUAUUAACACUUGUUGAACUGUCUUCACACUUAUGAUCUUUUUCAUCUCUGUAAGUAUAUAUAGCCUAUGUGGAAUGGUGUCUAGAAAGGGGACAACGUUCAUGACGGGUUUUAGAAUCCAGAAGUGUUUGCAAAUGGGCCUAAACCACUAUGUGGGAGUAGCUCAUGCCAAAAUGGAUUUUUCCUCUCGUGUUCGUCCUCCCCCACCUGGCUAUUUCACUAAGGUUGCCCAAUGGAUGUAGGCAAAAAAUCACAAAUGGUCACUGAGUUUUCACCCAUUCGACACUUAACUCACUGACAUUUCAAAAAACCACUUUAACUCACUCACUUUAUGCACCGUUUAUCAUUUAACUCACUGCCGUCUAUACAAUUCUAUAAACUAGGCACAUGAUCCAUCACGUGCACUUACUAGAGGGGCAUUAUUGUCCAAUCUGGGUCUUACUCACUAUUGUACAGUAUUCCCUCCAAAAUGAGUUUAAUUUUCCCUCCAUAUCCAUUCCUCUCUCAAUGAAUCGGUUAAAAUCAUACAUUUAUGCCUUAAUUACUCUCCUUCAGAUAUUUCAUUGAAACCCAUGUCUUUAAAACAUUUAAUUUCUCAACAAGGAAUGAUGGAAACAAGUUGAAAAAACACAUGUUCAGAAUGAUGAUAAUGAAAUUGAUAAUUAAAUUGCACUUAAACCAAAUUGUUGUCUAGUUGUUGAAGCAUACAAAAGAUAAAAGGUUGAGUAUAUAGUAGCAGUUAUGAAGCCUAACAUCAAUUAUGAUUACAAAAGCUCAACCUUAAAUUACAAAAUGCAAUGUCAUCUAAUCCCAGCUUCAACAAGACUAUUGCUUAAUAGAGCUAAAAAAACAAAAGCAGAAACCAAUUUAGGUUCAUGGCUUCCAAUUUGGCUUGCGCUGAGAUCUUUCAUUUGGUGCAGGGGCUUUGUUGCGCUGAAUUCUCAUAGGUAUUUGCUUCUUUGCUGGUGACUUAGUCUGCAUUAGCCUCCCUAUCUCAGAGGAUGAUCCGAUAACACUUGGCUGUGAAGACGAUUGAGGAUGAGGGUAAACUUGUGACAUAGAUAGGUUUGUAAAAAGUGGUUGCGAUGAAGUAGCUCCCACACUUGAGGGUGUUUGUAUAUGCACCUGCAAGCAUUUUUCAUUCAUCGUUUAAUUAACCUUCUCUAUCAUUAAUUAAA